AACGAACGCUGGCGGCAUGCCUAACACAUGCAAGUCGAACGAGACCUUCGGGUCUAGUGGCGCACGGGUGCGUAACGCGUGGGAAUCUGCCCUUGGGUUCGGAAUAACAGUUGGAAACGACUGCUAAUACCGGAUGAUGACGUAAGUCCAAAGAUUUAUCGCCCAAGGAUGAGCCCGCGUAGGAUUAGCUAGUUGGUGAGGUAAAGGCUCACCAAGGCGACGAUCCUUAGCUGGUCUGAGAGGAUGAUCAGCCACACUGGGACUGAGACACGGCCCAGACUCCUACGGGAGGCAGCAGUGGGGAAUAUUGGACAAUGGCGAAAGCCUGAUCCAGCAAUGCCGCGUGAGUGAUGAAGGCCUUAGGGUUGUAAAGCUCUUUUACCCGGGAUGAUAAUGACAGUACCGGGAGAAUAAGCUCCGGCUAACUCCGUGCCAGCAGCCGCGGU
rnacentral:rRNA from 1 species